rnacentral:siRNA from 1 species
UAUAGCCAUAUAGAGUCUCGUGU